rnacentral:rRNA from 1 species
UACAGAGGCCUCGAGCGUUAGGCGGAAUCACUGGGCUUAAAGCGUGUGUAGGCGGACUUCUAAGUGCCUUGUGAAAUCCCACGGCUCACCCGUGGAACUGCUGGGCAUACUGGGAGUCUUGAGCCACCUAGGGGCGAGCGGAACAAAUGGUGGAGCGGUGAAAUGCGUAGAUAUCAGGAGGAACACCUGUGGUGUAGACAGCUUACUGGACCACUUCUGACGCUGAGACACGAAAGCGUGGGUAGCAAACAGG